UCUGUAAAUGAGUAUACUACAGAGUAGUGUGCAGAGCCCUACCCCAUUCAGAUGCCUCUGAUGGUUCACAAUGGAGUAAUCACUGACAAGUCAUACUCAAUUGAGAGCUUCUCAACUGCCUUAAAGGAACUGAGGGAAACUAGGUCAAAAGCUUAAUAGAAUUGCUUUUCCUGACCUUUAUUUCGCAUCAGCGCUGUGACUUUCCUUGCAUUUACAAAACCAUAUAAGGGUGGCUAUUAAAAUAUCCCUUAUGUUAUGGGAAGAAAGCAAUGUUUAAAUAUCACCUAAGGAAAUACAUCUAUUGAGGAAAAUGUGACUUUAAAGGAUGAGGGAUAAAGUCUCCAUGACUCAUGUCCAAACUCUAAACUUUCCAAAUUAAGAUUAAGGCACAUCCAAUUGAGCUCAGCCACACCAGCUCUGUAUUAUUUAAAAUCUAGAAUUACAAUUCUCUGCUUUAUGGCAAAGGCCCAACACUUCCCUUUAAACUAUAUAUUUUAACCCCUUUCAUCCAAGUACCUCUUUGGCCUCUAUAAUGUGAGCACACAUAUUACCUGACUUUGUAGGAAUUUCCAGCUCGUAGGAUACACACAUAUAAAAAAAGAAACAAACUUUAAAAUGUGAAAGUGGAAUGGUAGAAAAUGUUAUAUGCAAAGAAUAGCCUCAAUAAAAGAUUUAAUAGGGUAGAAGACCCAAUUUAUCAGAGAAGGAAACCAUCCCAAUUAGAAGAACCAGCAUGUGCAAAGGUUUUUGUGACCAAAAGAGUGAAUAGGAGAAAAAUGAUUCAUUUAAAUGAGUGGUCUCAGUCUUCCUGAUUCUGUGACUGGUUAAUACAGUUCCUGAUGUUGUGGUGAAACCCAACCGUAGUUAUUUUGUUGCUACUUCGUAACUGUAAUUUUGCUACUGUUCUGAAUCAUAAUGUAAAUAUCUGAUAUGCAGGCUAUCUGAUAUAUAACCCCAGUGGGGGUCAUGACCCACAGGAUGAGAAUCUCUGUUCAAGGAAAAAUAAUGGAAUCCUAGAGGUAAGUGGACCCAAAGGUGACUCAUGAGAAGUCACUCCAACUCAGUUGAGAGUAACCUCCCAUGGCCUGGUCUCCACACUACCUGCAAGUUCCCAGACGGAAAACUAGAAACUCUCCUCACAGAGUCUUCUGAGAUAAUAAGCAAAGUGAUAGAGUGUUCCAUUGCACACCGUGGUACCAUUCCAGGUCAUAAAGCCGCUGGUUCUGCAACCCUUGGCUCCCAGUGACCUAUCAACAGACAAAUCAGAACAUACAGUGAUGUGCUGAGAAGCAAGCCUCUGUUCUCUGAAGUCAAUUUACAGAAGGCUUACAAGGGUUUAUUGAUUGAAAAUACCACAAUCACUCCUCCGGGCAGUCUUCUCUGUAUUAGGUCUUCAAUCCACAUUGUACAAUGUUCAGAAACAAGCCCUUCUGCUGUAGAUUUGUCUCCAUGAUGGAUACCCAUGUUGAUCACAGCAAACAACCAAGAAGUUCUCUAAAAGUGGGAGUUUAAGAUUUUUGCAGCAUUCUUUAAAUCUAGCUUAGUUGCUCCAUGUGUGAAUCCCUGAUUGUUGAAGAAGAAUAGAUCAAUCUGACCCAUGAGCAAUCACUCUAUACAAUACACGCCAGACUACUGCCUCACUCCUCAACCACAAGAGCUGUAUUCAUAAUUUCAAGCCUUGUUUACAUGAACUCGGCCUAAAUCCCUGCUGAGUGGCUAUCUAGUCUGUUUUACCAAACUGGAAAAUAAAAGGAGGUUGAUACAUGUGCCAA